CUGGGGCUGAAUUCGGUCCCAAGGGUUUGGCUGUUCGCCAAUUAAAGCGGUACGCGAGCUGGGUUCAGAACGUCGUGAGACAGUUCGGUCCCUAUCUGUUGCGGGCGCAGGAAUAUUGAGAGGAGCUGUCCUUAGUACGAGAGGACCGGGAUGGACGUACCGCUGGUGCACCAGUUGUUCUGCCAAGGGCAUAGCUGGGUAGCUAAGUACGGACGAGAUAAACGCUGAAGGCAUCUAAGCGUGAAACUCCCCUCGAGAUAAGUGUUCCCAUCCUUCGGGAGUAAGGCCCCUUGUAGACUACAAGGUUGAUAGGUCAGGAGUGGAAGUGCAGUAAUGUAUGGAGCGGACUGAUACUAAUAGGCCGAGGGCUUGACCUU
rnacentral:rRNA from 1 species